CCUACGGGGGGCAGCAGUAGGGAAUUUUCCACAAUGGGCGAAAGCCUGAUGGAGCAACGCCGCGUGCAGGAUGAAUGCCUUCGGGUUGUAAACUGCUUUUAUAUGUGACGAAUAUGACGGUAGCAUAUGAAUAAGGAUCGGCUAACUCCGUGCCAGCAGCCGCGGUCAUACGGAGGAUCCAAGCGUUAUCCGGAAUUACUGGGCGUAAAGAGUUGCGUAGGUGGCAUAGUAAGCAAAUAGUGAAAGCGUGUGGCUCAACCAUAUACACAUUAUUUGAACUGCUAAGCUAGAGAACGAGAGAGGUAGAUGGAAUUGCUAGUGUAGGAGUGAAAUCCGUAGAUAUUAGCAGGAACACCGAUGGCGUAGGCAGUCUACUGGCUCGUUUCUGACACUAAGGCACGAAAGCGUGGGGAGCAAACAGGAUUAGAUACCCUUGUAGU
rnacentral:rRNA from 1 species